rnacentral:rRNA from 1 species
AUGGAAAGAACUUUGAAAAGAGAGUGAAAAGCACUUGAAACCGUCACGGGGGAAGCGGAUUGCGUGAGUGAUGGUGUCGCUUGUUCAGCGCUUUAUUGCGUGCAUUCUGGCGGCACCGUGCCGGCGUGGCUGGCUGGACUGUGAUUUUGACAGUCUCGGCUGGUGAGGGCUCCCUCGUAUGAGGUGAGGACGCGGGCAAAAUGACGCAAUACGACCCGUCUUGAAACACGGACCAAGGAGUCUAGCACGGCUGCGAGUCGAAGAGUGAUUAAACUCAAGGGCGCAGUGAAAGCGAAAUUAUAAGCAAAUUGGGGAGGCGUUGCGUUUUUAACAAAAUGUCCUACCUCGAGCAUUUGUGCUGGGACCCGAAAGAUGGUGAACUAUGCCGGAGUAGGGCAAAGCCAGAGGAAACUCUGGUGGAGGCUCGUAGCGAUGCUGACGUGCAAAUCGCUCGUCGAACUUGGGUAUAGGGGCGAAAGACUAAUCGAACCAUCUAGUAGCUGGUUCCCUCCGAAGUUUCUCUCAGGAUAGCGGGCCGACACGCGUUUGUUGUUUUGUGC